rnacentral:lncRNA from 1 species
UCCACAUUAAUCAAAUCAACCCUUACUAUUUCAAAAUAAUAAAUAGAGGAAAAUAAAUUUCAUUUAUUAAUAAUUUGGGGUCUUACAACCUCCCCUCCUUAUGAAAUUUCGUCCUCGAAAUUGACGUACGUACCUGGUGUUUCGAAAAGAUGAGAAUACCUCGCUUUCAUUUUCGUUUCCAACUCCCAGGUCAUUUCCUCAAUAGCAUGGUUUCUCCACAAAACUUUAACUUGUGGUAUAACCUCGGUACAUAGGACAUGUUCUUU